UACAGAGGGGGCGAGCGUUGUUCGGAAUUACUGGGCGUAAAGGGCGCGUAGGCGGCCUUCUAAGUCGAACGUGAAAUCCCCGGGCUCAACCCGGGAACUGCGUCCGAUACUGGCAGGCUUGAAUUCGGGAGAGGGAUGCGGAAUUCCAGGUGUAGCGGUGAAAUGCGUAGAUAUCUGGAGGAACACCGGUGGCGAAGGCGGCAUCCUGGACCGAAAUUGACGCUGAGGCGCGAAAGCCAGGGGAGCAGACGGG
rnacentral:rRNA from 1 species